GCCACUAUUGAAACUGCGGGGGCAGAGCCGGGAACAAUUCUGCUGGCAUUCUAAAAAUAAGAAGCUUUAUUUUCCAACUGCAGGAUGUGGUUUAAAAGACAGAGUCUCAACAAUCUGCUUUUUUGACAGCCACUUGUAUCUCUUUUCUGUCAAUUAGGCUUGGAGAAAGAGGCGGAUCCCACACAAAGGGAAUACCGAUUUCUGAGAAGUGCUUAAGAUGAACUCUCUGGGAUCCUGCAGAUGGACAGCCAGCUUCCGCUCUUGAGGAAAAGGAGUUCAAGAGAGCAGCCUGAGUCGGUGGAGAGGUUGGGCAUUAGAAGAGCGAAUAUCUCCUUUCCCUGAGUUUGAUCAGGCUACACACAGGGGACUCAAGAGCUUGUUCCCUCUAUUUGCCCAGGUACCCUUGAUCUUGAAUACAGUGAAUCUCAACAGGAAGUAUUUUGCCAUGCCUGUGUUUUACCACGAGGAAAGAGAAUGAUGAAAAUGGUGAUGGUGGUUAAGAUGAUAAUGGUAUGUAUUCUUUUUUAGUCCGUAUCUCGUACCCAAUUCUAUGUAUCAUGUAUUACUUUAUUUUAUUUUCCAUAA
ensembl:lncRNA